AAAAUUUAUAAUAUUCCAAAGAAAAUUAACUGGUAUCGAAUUUCUUCUUUACAGCAAGUCAAAAUUCCUUCCGCCGGCGGCCGUGAUCCCGUCGCCGGAAGGAACGCUGUUCUGUAGAUACACAAAUUUCAGACGGAAUUGCAUUUGAUAGAUUGCAAAAAAGUUUAAAGAAGAGGAGAGAAAGCAGUAAAUUGGAAUCAUGAUAACGCGAUCGAAUUUGGCGGAGCAGCUGAGAGAGUAUCAGAUUCGAUCAAAGCACGAUUGGGCUUCGGUCUCCUUCUUUUCCUCCACCUCUAAUCUCACAUCUACAGCUUCAAGGGCGGAUGUCGUCAUGUUUGUAAUAUGUGAGCUGGUUAUCUUGGCACUCCUGGUUUUCUCUGUAGUUUCAUUGUACUUCACGCAUCUAAAGCUUGCAUUUAUCUUAGUAAGUACUAGCUUGCUAUUGCUUGUAUGUGUGACAAUUGCAAAGCAAGUUA
rnacentral:misc_RNA from 1 species